UCAAUGGCAGGAGGAAGCCCAUGCCAAUAAGGAGGUAUGCUGCAGUUCAGCAGGGAACAGAGCAGCAUGCACAUCCCUGGUAUAGUUCCAGAGAGACACUGCACCAAUACCUAAGAACAGGAAGACAAAUCUGCCUUUUCAAUGUGUAUUGAAGAAAAUCUAUGAACAAUUACAUGUGGCUUUCAGAACAAACUGUGAAGAUAUACCUACUUACAGAAUAAAAGUAAAAAGAUUUAUCCUUAAAAAUUAUUACCAUUGAAGACUUACUGUAUUUAAACUAAUUAAAGGAAAUCCUGUGGAUUUGAUACAAACAAUAGAACAAAUUAUCACAAACUUUAGAAUGUUUAUUACAGUUCCUCUAAAGAAAAGCAAAUUGGGAACAAUCAUUUCUCCUUUUUUCUUAUGCCUUCAUCUUAAAAAAAAAAUAAAUGGGCUCAAUGUGUAUAUAUUUGUAUGUUGUUCCCACAUUACAAUGUUCUUACAUUGAACUUUCCAAGUAUUUCAAGUGAUUAUUUAAAGCAAAUAUUUCUUGCUUUGUCUGAAAGUUUUUGGUGAAAUGAGCUUGACAUAAAUGUAUGUGUCUGGUAGCUAAAUGCUAGCUGAUAAUACUAAACUUUCUUGUUAAACAUUCCCCAAGUAAAGGUUUGCUUCUGCAUAAAAUGCAUUUAAAAUUCGAAGAACUAGGCCUUGUCCUACAGCCAGUCAAAAUCAUUUUAAAAUUGUCAUCACUCUCCAUUAACAACUUUGCCUCACUCUACAGCUAAACUCGAGUGAACUGGUGUUACCUCUGUGCACACAGACAAAAGGAAUGACAUACAGUAGUAGCUGUAAUUGACUUUGGCUACUUUUGAUCUGAUUUUGUAAGACAGUAUAGCUCAUACAGCUUCAAACAUUUUGACAAAUAGGCUCCCAGGUUUCAUAUAUACAUCUCUAAUUGUGUAACUUGAACAAAUGUAUGAAUAUUCACAGUGACAGGGAUAUUUUUAAUUGAUUUGCUUUAUCUGAGUAGGAGCAAAAUAUCCACCUUCUUAUUUUAAUAAUGGAGACCAGAAAUGUAACCCAUUAAAUAUUUCUGUCAAGCA